CAGUAGCCGCGGGAAUACGUAGGGUGCGAGCGUUAAUCGGAAUUACUGGGCGUAAAGCGUGCGCAGGCGGUUCGUUAAGACAGAUGUGAAAUCCCCGGGCUUAACCUGGGAACUGCAUUUGUGACUGGCGAGCUAGAGUAUGGCAGAGGGGGGUAGAAUUCCACGUGUAGCAGUGAAAUGCGUAGAGAUGUGGAGGAAUACCGAUGGCGAAGGCAGCCCCCUGGGCAAAUACUGACGCUCAUGCACGAAAGCGUGGGGAGCAAACAGGAUUAGAUACCCCGGUAGUCCCUGUCUCUUAUAC
rnacentral:rRNA from 1 species